GGAUAGCUCAAUUGGUAGAGCAUGAGACUCUUAAUUUCAGGGUAAUGGUUUCGAGCCCCAGGUUGGACA